rnacentral:rRNA from 1 species
AGAGUUUGAUCCUGGCUCAGGAUGAACGCUGACAGAAUGUUUAACACAUGCAAGUCUACUUGAUCCUUCGGGUGAUGGUGGCGGACGGGUGAGUAACGCGUAAAGAACUUGCCCUGCAGUCUGGGACAACAUUUGGAAACGAAUGCUAAUACCGGAUAUUAUGUGAGUUUCGCAUGAAAUUCAUAUGAAAGCUAUAUGCGCUGCAGGAGAGCUUUGCGUCCUAUUAGCUAGUUGGUGAGGUAACGGCUCACCAAGGCAUCGAUGGGUAGGGGUUCUGAGAGGAAGGUCCCCCACAUUGGAACUGAGACACGGUCCAAACUCCUACGGGAGGCAGCAGUGAGGAAUAUUGGUCAAUGGACGAAAGUCUGAACCAGCCAAGUAGCGUGCAGGAAGACGGCCCUCUGGGUUGUAAACUGCUUUUAGUUGGGAAUAAAAAGAGGGACGUGUCCCUUAUUGUAUGUACCAUCAGAAAAAGGACCGGCUAAUUCCGUGCCAGCAGCCGCGGUAAUACGGAAGGUCCAGGCGUUAUCCGGAUUUAUUGGGUUUAAAGGGAGCGCAGGCGGCGGCGUAAGUCAGUUGUGAAAUCGUGCGGCUUAACCGUGCAAUUGCAGUUGAUACUGCGUCGCUUGAGUGCACACAGGGAUGUUGGAAUUCAUGGUGUAGCGGUGAAAUGCUUAGAUAUCAUGAAGAACUCCGAUCGCGAAGGCAUAUGUCCGGAGUGCAACUGACGCUGAGGCUCGAAAGUGUGGGUAUCAAACAGGAUUAGAUACCCUGGUAGUCCACACAGUAAACGAUGAAUACUCGCGGUUGGUUCGUUAGAGUCAGCCGCCAAGCGAAAGCGUUAAGUAUUCCACCUGGGGAGUACGCCGGCAACGGUGAAACUCAAAGGAAUUGACGGGGGCCCGCACAAGCGGAGGAACAUGUGGUUUAAUUCGAUGAUACGCGAGGAACCUUACCCGGGCUUGAACUGCCAGUGACUCAUGCAGAGACGCAUGUUUCUUCGGACACUGGCGGAGGUGCUGCAUGGUUGUCGUCAGCUCGUGCCGUGAGGUGUCGGCUUAAGUGCCAUAACGAGCGCAACCCUUCUCCCUGUUUGCCAUCGGGUUAAGCCGGGCACUCCAGGGACACUGCCAUCGUAAGAUGUGAGGAAGGUGGGGAUGACGUCAAAUCAGCACGGCCCUUACGUCCGGGGCUACGCACGUGUUACAAUGGGCGGUACAGAAAGCAGCUACCCCGCGAGGGGAUGCCAAUCUCAAAAACCGUUCUCAGUUCGGACUGGAGUCUGCAACCCGACUCCACGAAGCUGGAUUCGCUAGUAAUCGCGCAUCAGCCAUGGCGCGGUGAAUACGUUCCCGGGCCUUGCACACACCGCCCGU